rnacentral:rRNA from 1 species
AAUCUUGCGCAAUGGGCGAAAGCCUGACGCAGCCAUGCCGCGUGAAUGAUGAAGGUCUUAGGAUGGUAAAAACCUUUCACCGGGGACGAUAAUGACGGUACCCGGAGAAGAAGCCCCGGCUAACUUCGUGCCAGCAGCCGCGGUAAUACGAAGGGGGCUAGCGUUGCUCGGAAUUACUGGGCGUAAAGGGCGCGUAGGCGGAUCGUUAAGUCAGAGGUGAAAUCCCGGGGCUAAACCCUGGAACUGCCUUUGAUACUGGAGAUCUUGAGUAUGAGAAAGGUAAGUGGAAAUCCGAGUGUAGAGGUGAAAUUCCUAAAUAUUCGGGAGAAAACCAGAGGCGAAGGCGACAUACUGGCUCAUUACUGACGGUGAGGCGCGAAAGCGUGGGGAACAAACA